UACAUUUCCAGUAUAUCACAUGACGAGUUUUGCUUUCUAGUUUUGAACACAAGUGUGGCGCAGAACUGGUGGUGUUACAAGAAAAGAGAGAAAAAACGGACAGGAAAUUCAGAAGGAUGCUAGAAACCAUCACCACAAAGCCUACUGAGAAAAGGGUAAAAAUAGAACGGUUUCUCCUCCAAAGGGCAAAUGCCAAGAUACACCAUCAUGGGUCUUGCGGAUCAGAAUCAGGAGCCAAAGAUGUCUGACCUCAAGAUACGUGCUGUGAACUUUGAUGGAUUUUUUCCGUCCGCCAAAAUUAAGCACACUAAACUUUUGGUAUGAAAUAAGCUUCUGACUUUCGAAUCAAU